rnacentral:rRNA from 1 species
UACGUAGGGUGCGAGCGUUGUCCGGAAUUAUUGGGCGUAAAGAGCUUGUAGGCGGUUUGUCGCGUCUGCUGUGAAAAUCCGGGGCUCAACCCCGGACUUGCAGUGGGUACGGGCAGACUAGAGUGUGGUAGGGGGAGACUGGAAUUCCUGGUGUAGCGGUGGAAUGCGCAGAUAUCAGGAAGAACACCAACGGCGAAGGCAGCUCGCUGGGACGGUACUGACGCUGAGACGCGAAAGCGUGGGGAGCGAACAGG